GCUUCUUUCUCCCCAUCUCUGAUCUCUUUAUCCUUUUUGUUCUCACUCCCAAAUGGCUGUUUACUCUGAAUUAGUGGCCAAUUAGCAAACCGGAGAGUUACUGAGGGAAUAUGUGAGAGGCAGUUCCUGUCAGGACAGUAAUUGUUACAUCACAGAAGAAGCUAGGGCUCUCCUAGUUACAACAAAUUUGUCAUGGAGGUCCUAUUUAUGAUGUCACUGAGAACGGCCAUCUCCUACAUGCUAAACAGCUUUCCUUACAUUUACCAGAUUCGAAGGUGUCCUUUCCAGUUCAAGGUAAACUGGAGGUUCACUUGGGAUGCAAUGAAGAGCCCCUGACAAGCAUAUUCUUCAAAGCCUCCCAUGGUGUAACUGAAGAUACGAUAUGUGAAGUAGCCCUAGCUUGCCUGCUCAAGAGGUGUCCUUUCACAUGCAGAGGAAUGUGUAGAUGGACAUAUAUUUGAAUAAGAUACUGAACCUAAGACUACUGCAUUAGAGCCUCGUACAAGACUUCUAAGACUGUUGACUGCCUACCAUGGAUAUUCAGGCAUCUGCAGAUACUACCUUUUGAGGAAUGAAUCCUUCUCAGGAGACAAUAGACGGAACCUGCACUUCAAUGAUAAUUAAAUGGCACUUCAAGAUAUCAAAUCAAAAUAUCAAAAAAGGAUUACAAGAGCUGAAGACAUUAUCAACCCCAUCAGAAGAAUAAUGCGAAUGAACAAGAACCUUCUGGUACUAUAAAGAUAUUCAAAGACUGUACAUGGACAGACCUAUUGCUCCAACUGCAUGUGUGGCAGAGGAUGGCAUUGUUGGACACCAAAGGAAGGAGAGGCCUUUGGUUCUCCAUAGGUUUCACUCCCAGUUCAAGGAAAUUUCAACGGGUAGUAAGGGUGGUUUAAGUGUAAAGGAAAGGAAACAUUUAGGUCUCUUACGGAGAGGAAACUGGGAAUGGAAAUAACAUUUAAAUAUAGAUAUAGAAAUAUCCAAAAAGUAUUAAAAUUAGCUUAAAAUUAAAAAAAAAUGAAAGAAAUAAAAGUAAAUAAAACUGCAAGGUAAUCAGACAUAUUGAUUCAUAAAUCUAGAGGGACACUGUCAGGGAAUGGUAGUCAGCAUAACACUAGUGGAAAGACUGAGAUGAUGAACUCUCAACUAGAAGUAUUUCUCUCUCCCAGAUAUCUGUGUCAGACACAAACUGCGAUGUAGGAAUCAAAAACAUGGAGGAGUUUACUAUGAGCUGAGGAUACAAUAC